rnacentral:rRNA from 1 species
UACGUAGGGUGCAAGCGUUGUCCGGAAUUAUUGGGCGUAAAGAGCUCGUAGGCGGUUUGUCGCGUCUGCUGUGAAAACUCGAGGCUCAACCUCGGGCUUGCAGUGGGUACGGGCAGACUAGAGUGCGGUAGGGGGUGACUGGAAUUCCUGGUGUAGCGGUGGAAUGCGCAGAUAUCAGGAGGAACACCGGUGGCGAAGGCGGUUCUCUGGGCAUUACCUGACGCUGGAGGAGCGAAAGCAUGGGGAGCGAACAGG